ensembl:lincRNA D030040B21Rik RIKEN cDNA D030040B21 gene
AGGCACCUUUCCUAGAAAGCUGAAAAGCAGCUCAGUUAAGUUUCCUCUCUGCUGUUUUCAUGGAGUGGGCUUGAAAACCUAGAUUCAAGAUACUCAGUUAAUCAGUCGCAGCUGUGUAAUAGUAUCCCACAAAAGGAAGUAUAGUAUGUAUGUGCUAUUUGGAAUUUCUGAAACUUCUCAAAGGGUUUUGUUUUUGAAUUUUUGAGACAGGGUAUUUCAGUGUUACCCUGGAACUACGAGUCCCAGACUAGCUAUGUAUUUGGGGACAAUUCUAUCUCCUUCCUUAGCCAUCAGGCACAGUAAUUUCCCUAUGUAAUCCUUGGCUGCCCUCCAACUCCAAUUUAUAAUUCUGUUUCAGCCUCAAAGUGUUGAAACGACAGGUGUUGCCUACCAUGGGUUGCUCUGAAAGUGUUUGUCUGUUUGUUUGUGUUUGUGUUUUUGCUUUAUUUGAUUUGGCAGCUAGGUAUGCUUUUAUGGAAUUGAAAGCAAAAAUAUAGCUGCGGCCUUGAAUUAAUUUUCAAAGGCUUUGGAGAAAUAAUGAAAGUGUUUUGGUUGUAUCCAUAAUUCAAAGUAGUUUCAUAGUAAAAGAGGCAUUUGGUAGCAGAAGAUAAAACUAAAGAAAAAAAUAUGAAAAAACUAAGUGAGACCUGAGUCUCCCUUUAGGCAGUAAGGGUGGGCCCGACUUCCAUCGUAUAUCUUGACUAAAGAACCAAGGAUAGGUUCAUGCGGCUGGCUCAGGAUUCCGUUGGUUUGUUUUAAGAUUUAUUUGUUUGCUUUUUAAAUUUUAUUUGUUUUUUUUUCUUUUUCUUUUUUUUUUUUGUUUCUGUUUUUUGUUUUGUUUUGUUUUGUUUUUGUUUUUGUUUUUGUUUUUUUGAGGCAGGGUUUCUCUGUAUAGCCCUGGCUAUCCUGGAACUCACUCUGUAGACCAGGCUGGCCUUGAACUCAGAAAUCCUUCUGCCUCUGCCUCCCAAGUGCUGGGAUUAAAGGCGUGCGCCACCACGCCCGGCAUAAUUUUAUUUGUUUUUAAGAUUUAUGUAUUUAUUUAUUAUUUGUGUUUUUAUGUAUGAGUGCUCUAUCUGCAUGCCAGAAGAGAGCACCAGAUCCCAUUAUAGAUGGUUGUGAGCCACCAUGUGGUUGCUAGGAGUUGAACUCAGUACCUCUGGAAGAAAAGCCAGUGAGCAUUUAACUGCCGAGACAUCUCCCCAGUCCCAUGGAUUCCUUCUAAAAGGACACAGAAAAGGGAACUAGGUCAGACAACUGCGAUAGGUUUUUGGUUGGGUCUUUUUUGUUUGUUUGUUUCUCUGCUACUGGUGAAAUGAAUCAAUUCAAGCCAGAGUGAGAUGAUAUUAAGUGCAGGAUUAUUGGAAGUUGCUCUCUGGCCCCAAGGACAGAAGCCAGAGAGGAAGGAAGAGAAUUGUACAUAUUCUCUGCUCACUCCUUUUCCAGUUUCCUUCCCGUUUGAGGGUAUGAGAAAUGGCUUGAGAUGACUUUGGCAAGCUUUGAUCUUCAGGUACUCUUGCUCCGUUAAGCUCACCAAGAGCUAAGAAAGGCUCUGUAACUCUCAAAGCAAUCAGUACCACUAACCUAACCUGUUUUGUAUCACUAAUUUUAAGUGUCUUUCUGCUAAAGCUCAAUGUUACUAGUAGAUUUCCUAUAGAUACACAUAUGCCAACCCUAGCCAUGAUGCUGAUGUUGUUUUCCAUAUUUUGAGGUUGGAAGCUGGUUUUGUUUUGUUCAAAGAGUGACCUUCUGUCUAAUAUGGGGCCUGAACUCUCAGCUAUUAGCACCCCCCCACAACAAAGUCAGGUAUUAAGGACAACCCCCCCACACACACACACAGAGAGUUUCUCUGUGUAGCCCAGGCUGUCCUGGAAUUCACUCUGUAGAUCAGGCUGGCCUUGAACUCAGAAAUCCACCUGCUUUUGCCUCCCAAGUGCUGGGAUUAAAGGCACGUGCUACCACUGCCCAGCAAGGACAAACUCUUAUAUUAAUAAACCUUCGAAGUAUUUUUCCUUAGCACCCUGUAUUAGUCAGGAUUCUCUAGAGUCACAGAAUUUAUGGGUAGUCUCUAUAGUGAAGAAAUUUGUUAUGAUGACUUACAAUUUGUAGUCCAACUCAGCACUUCUGUGAAUGGGAAGUCCAAGGAUCUAGUAGUUGCUCAAUCUCACAAGAAGAACACCAUGCCAAGAUCCAGAUCAGAAACUUCUAUCUCCCAGCCUCAAGGUCAGGAUCACAGCAGGUGCAUGCCCAAUACUCAUGAAGAUCAGAAGAAGGCAUUCUAUGGUUCUGAAAAUUGCCGAAAGAAGACUCCAGACUCAGAUAGUCUUCAGAAACAACCAGCAUGUGAGGGGUUGGGAGUGUCAACCAUUCUUUGAAAUGUUGACCCCCAGACAAAGGUGCACAAGCCUUCUUAUAGGGAACCAGGAACUCUCUAGAGGAACUAGCAUCAGAUCCCCUGAUAUCGGAGUUAUGAGUUACAAGUGAUUAUGAGCCACCAUGUGGAUGCUAAGAAUUGAACCCAGGUCCUCUGUAAGAACAGGCGACCCCUCUGAAAGGGUUGUUUGUCCUGAGAAGGGGUCAUAGAGCUGCUGUGCUAGAUGAGAAAUUUUUCCUGAUGCAUCUGACUGUGAAGUUGAUCUGAAGAUAUUUAGAGGACAAAUUCAUCAAGUUUACCUUUGGAAACCUAUGUAGUAUUAUGUAAAACAGUUUAUCUCCAUUAUAUUAUAUCACCAGUAUUUUUAGCUUAUUUUUAAAAAUAAUUUAUUUUUAAUUCUCAAUAAAUACUUGCUACAUAGUC